GGCCUUAUAUUCAAUUAUGAUUCUAGACUGCAAUUCUGGAGGUGUAGGUAAAUUACUAAGGCCU
rnacentral:tRNA from 1 species